CUUAACAGAAUCGCCAUAGGGUACCAGUUUGUGCCUCUAUACGUACCCUGUUUUUAUUGCCCGGCAGUAGGCUACCACGUUUAGGAUGUAAGUGUUGUCAAAACUAACGUUGAAGGUUGGGGGAGAUUUCCUUCUUUUGGGGUAUUUCUUCAACCUCCAAGGAAGGGGAAAAAAAUCAAGCAAGACUUCAUAGACUCUCACUGUCUCCUCUGUGCAGACCUUAAUCUUUCUGAUUUGCCAAUCUACUGCUCUGCUGGAAAUGCUUUGAAAAGUUUCAGAAAGACUGAUCCAACCAUUCUAGAUCUUGCAGAAGAAACUGACAAUUCCUCUUCAGAUGAACUUUACUCUCUCAGUUUAUCUCUGCAAAAUAUGUCAGAACCAUUAAUGAACAAAUUGCUGUCUGGAGAUGAACAGUGUACACAAAAAUCACCAUCAGUCUGCUAUUACCAUACAGAACCGUGUCAAAUCCUGAAGGAAAAUACAGUUGCUCUUAGCAUCAGAAGCUUUCGUGUGUUGCCACCUGUCAAAGAGUCCAGAAACCUGAGGAAGAGUCUUUUUAAAAGAGUGGAGCCAACAGAUUUCCAUCCAGCAGAAGUUGUCACCAAAGCCAUAAUGCCAGAUGCCACCAGAGCGGUCACUGCUGAUGAAAGAUUGAGUGUCAGUGGUGACCCAGGAAAUGUCUUCAAGGUCCUCACAGACUUUAUUCCAAAAGAGAACGGCUACAGGUUAAAGGAAGCUCCCUGCACAAAGCAUUGGCUGUCCCAGGAAAGCAAUCACCUGCCAUCUAUUUUUAACAUAACUUUUCAAAAUAAGUAUAAUUUACCCUCCAGCACUGUGUCAAAUACAUUACCACAGGCUUUCUAUGCCCUGGGAAGAAACCUCAGGCAGGAAGAAUUGACAAGGCCUUCUACCAGGAGCAACAUCAGUUAUAGACUGUAUUCUAG
ensembl:lncRNA